rnacentral:lncRNA from 1 species
CAUGUCCAAUCCACUAAUUAAGCGUCGUGCAAAGGUUAUGUAUUCCAUUCUACCACAAAAACCCGAUAUUUGGGUGUUUUGCCUCCCACGAUUGAAAUCUAAGACCGAGACGGAUGAGUGUCUUCCCAUUGAUGAUUCUGGGAUUCAUAACGAGAACUUUCUAACAAAGUAGUUGGACUAUCGAUAUUUUCAAUUGUUAUCACCUCUCGAACAGGAAAAGAUGUUGAAGUCGCAAGUCAUUCAUCUGGC